AGGCGAUUAGCUCAGCUGGUUAGAGCACCACCUUGACAUGGUGGGGGUCGUUGGUUCGAGUCCAAUAUCGCCUACCA
rnacentral:tRNA from 1 species